rnacentral:rRNA from 1 species
CAAGAGCGUAUAUUAAAGUUGCUGCGGUUAAAAAGCUCGUAGUUGGAUUUCAGUCUAGGAAGGUUAACUCGCCGAAAGGUGGUACGUUGAUUUUCCUCAGACUUCGUCAGAAGCUCGUGCUGCACUUAACUGUGUGGUACGAUGUUCUGACCUUUUACCUUGAGGAAAGUAGAGUGUUUCAGGCAGGCUACCCAGCUUGAAUACAUUAGCAUGGAAUAAUGAAAUGGAUCUCGGUUCGAUUUCGUUGGUUCUAGAGCUGAGGUGAUGAUCAAUAGGAACAGGCGAAGGUAUUCGUACUUGAGAGUGAGGAGUGAAAUCCGAUGAUCUCUUAAAGACGAUCCGAGGCGAAAGCAUUUGUCAAGGAUGUUUUCAUUGA